rnacentral:rRNA from 1 species
UCUGGCGGUAGUUGCGCGGUGGUCCCACCUGACCCCAUGCCGAACUCAGAAGUGAAACGCCGUAGCGC